AUGUUCGACGCCCUCGCCGACGCCCGCGCCGCCGGCCUCCCCGCCCCGUCCGCCGCAUUCGCGGCGCUCGUCACCGCGCACGCCUCAGCAGGCCGGCCGCAAGAGGCCGUCGACGCCUUCUCCCGGAUGGGCGACUUCGACUGCCGCCCCACCGCCUUCAUCUACAACGCCGUCUUCAAGGUCCUCGUCGACAGCGGCGCGAUCCUCCUAGCCCUGGCGCUCUAUAAUCGGAUGGUCAGCGCCGGAUGCCCGCCCAACAGGGCCACGUACAAUGUGCUCAUGGAUGGGCUCUGCAAGCGGGGCAUGGCGGGUGACGCCCUCAAGAUGUUUGACGAAAUGCUCGAGAGGGGGAUCGUGCCGGACGUGAAGAUCUAUACUGUGUUAAUCUCGUCCCUGUGCAGUGCAGGGAGGGCUGAGGAAGCUGCGCGUCUCAUUGGCUCCAUGAAGGAGAAGGGGUGCCCACCCGACGAGGUCACAUACAACGCUUUCUUGAGCGGGCUCUGCAAGGCUGGCAGGGUUGAUGAUGCAUUUGAGCGGUUGGAGCUGCUCCGAGAAGGGGGGUUUGCACUUGGAUUGAAUGGGUAUAGUUGUCUGAUAGAUGGUCUGUUCCAGGCCGGCCGGUUUGAUGAGGGCUUCAGUUAUUACAAGGAAAUGUUGGAGAAGAAUGUUAAACCAGACGUCGUCCUGUACACGAUAAUUAUCCGUGGUUGUGCAGAGGCUGGCAGGACCGAGGAUGCGUUCUCAUUACUCAAUGUGAUGAAGGACAAAGGGUUUGUGCCUGACACUUUCUGUUACAACACACUGCUCAAGGCUUUCUGUGAUGUCGGCAACCUGGAUAAGGCUCAGUCAUUGCGGUCAGAGAUGUUGCAGAAUAAUGUGGCCCUGGACUCAACAACGCACAAUAUCAUGAUAUGUGGACUGUGCAAGAAAGGACUCAUAGAUGAGGCAAUGCAGGUUUUUCAUGAGAUGGGAGAACUUGGUUGCCAUCCGACGGUCAUGACAUACAAUGCACUCAUUGAUGGACUCUAUAGGGUCGGCAGGCUAGAGGAUGCUCAGAUGCUUUUUUAUAAGAUGGAAAUGGUGAAUAACCCCUCCUUGUUCCUUCGACUGACCCUUGGUGCCAACCAGGUGAGGGACAGCGAGAGCCUUCGUAAGCUGGUUGAUGGUAUGUGCGAAUCUGGGCAGGUGCUGAAAGCUUUCAAGCUUGUUCGGGGUAUAAUAAACAGUGGAGUUGUUCCUGAUGUUGUCACAUAUAACACACUGUUAAAUGGACUCUGUAAAGCGAAGAAUCUUGACGGCGCACUGCGGCUCUUCAAAGAGCUCCAACUUAAGGGAAUCUCUCCUGAUGAAAUCACUUAUGGGACUCUAAUUGAUGGGCUUUGGGGGGCACACAGAGAAAAUGAUGCCAUGAUUUUGUUCCAGAACAUAUUGCGGGGUCAUGGUUCCCCUAGUUUGUCGAUCUACAAUACUAUGAUGAGAUCACUCUGUAGGAUGAAGAAAUUGACGCAAGCAAUCAACCUCUGGUUGGAUUACUUGCCCAAAAAGUACAACCUCACACCAGAAGAUGAAGUAAUCGCUAAUGCCCGUAACUGUUUUGAAGUAAGAUCCCUGGAUGAAGCAGUUAAGGAGUUAAUCAAGAUUGAUCAAGAAUACGACUCCGUUAGCUCAAACCCUUACACCAUUUGGUUGAUAGGGCUUUGUCAGGUAAAGAGAAUUGAUGAUGCUCUUAGGAUAUUUCAUACCCUUGAAGAAUUUGGAAUUGAUGUCACACCCGCGUGCUGUGCUCUUCUUAUCAAUUACCUAUGCUGGGACAGAAAUCUAAAUGCAGCAGUUGAAAUCAUGAUGUAUACAUUGAGUAAACGUUUCAUUGUGUCCCAAGCUGUAGGCAACCGUUUACUUAGGCGGCUUUGUAUCCGUUAUAGAAGGAAGGAUGCACAGGCACUUGCAUGGAGAAUGCAUCUUGUAGGAUAUGAUAUGGAUGUAUAUCUCCGCGAGCCUACAAAAACUUUGCUAUACAGUCAA
rnacentral:rRNA from 1 species